rnacentral:rRNA from 1 species
CAGUCGCCACGGUAAUACGGAGGGAGCUAGCGUUGUUCGGAAUUACUGGGCGUAAAGCGCACGUAGGCGGCUUUGUAAGUUAGAGGUGAAAGCCUGGAGCUCAACUCCAGAAUUGCCUUUAAGACUGCAUCGCUGGAAUCCAGGAGAGGUGAGUGGAAUUCCGAGUGUAGAGGUGAAAUUCGUAGAUAUUCGGAAGAACACCAGUGGCGAAGGCGGCUCACUGGACUGGUAUUGACGCUGAGGUGCGAAAGCGUGGGGAGCAAACAGGAUUAGAUACCCCUGUAGUCCCUGUCUCUUAUAC